rnacentral:rRNA from 1 species
CCUACGGGAGGCAGCAGUGGGGAAUAUUGCGCAAUGGGCGAAAGCCUGACGCAGCAAUUCCGCGUGGAGGAUGACGGUUUUCGGAUUGUAAACUCCUUUGAUCAGGGAAGAAUUUUUGACGGUACCUGAAGAACAAGCACCGGCUAACUACGUGCCAGCAGCCGCGGUAAU